rnacentral:lncRNA from 1 species
CCUGGUAUCAACGACAGAGCUCUCUCCUGGUAUCAACGACAGAAUCCUCUCCUGGUAUCAACGACAGAAUCCUCUCCUGGUAAGGAGAAUAACUAUCAACGACAGAGCCCUCUCCUGGUAUCAACGACAGAGCCCUCUCCUGGUAUCAACGACAGAAUCCUCUCCUGGUAUCAACGACAGAGCUCUCUCCUGGUAUCAACGACAGAAUCCUCUCCUGGUAUCAACGACAGAAUCCUCUCCUGGUAAGGAGAAUAACUAUCGACGACAGAGCUCUCUCCUGGUAUCAACGACAGAAUCCUCUCCUGGUAAGGAGAAUAACUAUCGACGACAGAGCCCUCUCCUGGUAUCAACGACAGAGCCCUCUCCUGGUAUCAACGACAGAGCCCUCUCCUGGUAUCAACGACAGAGCCCUCUCCUGGUAUCAACGACAGAGCCCUCUCCUGGUAUCAACGACAGAGCCCUCUCCUGGUAUCAACGACAGAGCUCUCUCCUGGUAUCAACGACAGAGCUCUCU